GGAACACUACAAGAUAGGUUUGUAUUUUUGAAGGAAAUACAUAAUGGUCUUAAAAAGAAACUGCUUUCUCCAGAACACAUCUUUCUUUUGAGAAGGUGCAGUCUCUUUUCUGUCCCACCCCUACUCUUGAAAACAGCAUGCUAAGGAUGGGAAAGUGGGAAGCAGAGAAGAGCCAGAAUGGCUGCCUGCCGGUGAAGCAGGAGAGGCCAGAGGGAGAGGCUCUGGGCGCCGGUGACUCUGCGGGAGCUGGGAUGCUGUCAGCAGAGGGCAGCAAAGCACGCCCUGCUGUGGAGACCUCUGCGUGUGUGGUAUGGCUCGACCAGGAGGAGAGACAGGGGAAGUGGCCACCUGUUACUUGCUUCUGGGACUUUCUGGAGCUGUUGGUGAACCUCAGGUCUUGCUGGACUGACGCUAUGUUGGUCAAGUCAAUGGGGUCUCGGUAGACUCUGGCCAGGUCUGAUGGAAGCCAGGUUUACUCAGAAGUUGUUUAUUUGAAGAAGACACAUUUAUUUGGUCUGGAGAAAGAAAAUCUGGCUGAGGUGAAAAUCCCUGAGCUGGCUCCAAGGCUCCCUGAAAGGAACAGCAAGUGUAUCAUCAGAUAACCGCCACCCAGCGAUCCCCUGGGAGCGCCCCUUGACCUUUUACCAAAGAUGGACCCACUACAUUCAAGGUCUCUUAUUCCCCCAGCAGUGCUGUUCUAGGUUAAUGCUAUUUUGGGAGCGUGGUUCUUCAUUUCAGUGUGAAUUUCCUCAUCUUUCCGCACAAAUUGAGUGAAAUCCUUAGUGCAUUUUUCUCUUAGAUGGAUGGAGGCUAAAAGAGAAUGGAAGGCCUCCAGCUGUUUGAGGCUCUGUCCUCAACGACAAUCAAAAUUCUCCAUCUUUUCUUGUUCUUGGCACUUUCUGAUUGAAAUAAGAUUCCAGCAUUUAUCUGCACCUGCAAUUUUGACAAGAAAGGAAAAUUUAAAAGACAAGUGAAAGAAUUCUCUGAGGGAAGUCAAUGAGUCGACAGUAGUCAGACGCCUGCGAAUCUCUUUUUGCAUUCCUCCGUCAAUUAAGCUACAGUCACAUAUUGGAGAGCAGAACUUAAGUCUGUGAGUAGAAAUGCAAAAAUGUGCGUGGAUCAGUAGCGGGAACCUUCCUUUGGAGUGAAUAUUACUUGGAGAGCAGCUGAUGAUCAUUGGCGUUGAAACGGAGAGAAUUUCGAGUCAGAGGGUACUUUAAAUUAUAGAUUUGAGUUUAGUUGAAGGUCAAACUUACCUUGCAUGAAUAAAAUCUUCAGAGAUUUUGAAAUAUACUCGGAAAAUGCAGGCUAUCUUGAGCACAUAAGCAUUUCCUUCAGGGGAUAAAAGCAGUUUAAUAUUAUUGCCCUCUGCAUAAUUAUUGAUCAUAUUAGCAUAGAAGAUACUGAAAAGAAAGUCAGAAUAACAGUCUGAUGGCCACGUUGAUUCUCAGCAACUACAACCACGAGUUUAGACAGGAAGUUGCCUGGAGACCUGGAAGAUUGUUCAGGGAAUUUGGUAGUGGCCAGUAGGUUCAUUUUGGCCUAACAAAUGGUACCAAAAUGACCCUCUGAGAGGUGAAAGGGUAUUUAGCUAAUGCCAUACGACAUAAAUAAUCUCCCAUCUCCAGGAAUUUGGGAACCAUCUGUGGGAUCAUAAUGUUGAUUUGGUUAUCUGGAUGCAUAUGUCAUCUGACUCAAAGCUUCCUGGCAGCCGAGAUGAAGAGGGAAAUGUAGUGAGUUACAAACUUACCAUUUGGGAGGGAGAAAUGUACUCA
rnacentral:lncRNA from 1 species